AACGCUAGCUACAGGCUUAACACAUGCAAGUCGAGGGGCAGCAUUGGAGUAGCAAUACUUCAGAUGGCGACCGGCGCACGGGUGAGUAACACGUAUCCAACCUGCCGCUUACUCGGGGAUAGCCUUUCGAAAGAAAGAUUAAUACCCGAUGGUAUAAAGAGUUCGCAUGUUCUCUUUAUUAAAGAAUUUCGGUAAGCGUUGGGGAUGCGUUCCAUUAGAUCGUUGGCGGGGUAACGGCCCACCAAGUCUACGAUGGAUAGGGGUUCUGAGAGGAAGGUCCCCCACAUUGGAACUGAGACACGGUCCAAACUCCUACGGGAGGCAGCAGUGAGGAAUAUUGGUCAAUGGACGAGAGUCUGAACCAGCCAAGUAGCGUGAAGGAUGACUGCCCUAUGGGUUGUAAACUUCUUUUAUACGGGAAUAAAGUAUCCUACGUGUAGGAUUUUGUAUGUACCGUAUGAAUAAGCAUCGGCUAACUCCGUGCCAGCAGCCGCGGUAAUACGGAGGAUGCGAGCAUUAUCCGGAUUUAUUGGGUUUAAAGGGAGCGUAGGUGGAAUGUUAAGUCAGCCUGUGAAAGUUUGCGGCUCAACCGUAAAAUUGCAGUUGAUACUAUCAUUCUUGAGUACAGUAUAGGUGGGCGGAAUUCGUGGUGUAGCGGUGAAAUGCUUAGAUAUCACGAAGAACUCCGAUUG
rnacentral:rRNA from 1 species